UACGUAGGGUCCGAGCGUUGUCCGGAAUUACUGGGCGUAAAGCGUGCGCAGGCGGUUCUCCAAGUCCGUUGUGAAAGCCCCGGGCUCAACCUGGGAAUGGCAGUGGAAACUAGGGGACUGGAAUCUGGCAGAGGGGGGUGGAAUGCCGCGUGUAGCAGUGAAAUGCGUAGAGAUGCGGCGGAACACCGAUGGCGAAGGCAGCCCCCUGGGCUGAGAUUGACGCUCAGGCACGAAAGCGUGGGGAGCAAACAGG
rnacentral:rRNA from 1 species